CAAUUCCCCUUCUGGUCAACAAGAAAAAAUCACAGCCUCAGACCCAUCAUCCCAAGACGUCUGUGUUCCUCCUCCCCCAUCUCCACGCUCCUUCUGCAGGGUGCUAACGAGGGCUCAUUUACACCACGGGAUGUUCUGCGCUGCGUCGGAGAGGUCCAAGGGGAGACCUGCGGGAUUGUACACAUGGGAUCGGUGCUGGAGCAGAAACCUUUGGGUACGGGUAGGUGGAUGUGAUGGAUGGAGCUCAGGAGCAGUCUGGCCCUGGGUGCUGGAGGAAAGGCUGUGUGCGUAAUCCCCUGGAAAUCAAUGGGAGUUAAGCAUUUGCUUAAAUGCUUCGCUGAGCUGGACCCUAAGCAGACAAGCCAGACAAAGAGGGGAUGAAGCGGAGAUUUUCUCCUGGGAGUGGCAGCAAGGAGAAUCCAUCUCUUUGAAUCAUUACCUUGCUGCUUCUGUCAUGCUAGAGGGGAUCCUUCUUCCCUCGAGUACACCGCUACCAGCCUGGGGUAUGUCCCUAGCCAGCCAGCCGCAGCUGGGAGGAUGAAACCUUGGAGGCUCAGAACUCUUGCAGGGUGCCUGCUGCGGCUGGAAACAUGUGCAUCCCCACACACACGUCCAGAUGUCAUUUAAAGGAGAGCAUUGAGCUACAAUGGAUGGGAAUACAAGCAGGAAAUCCUCUUUUGCUGCACAAACCUGGCCCUUUUCCAGAUACCAUGUCAUCACUUUUCGCAUGCUGUUUUCUUAAAUUACUUACUGAGAAAGCCUAAGUCAAUCUACAUAUUAAACAUACCGGAGAUUGGAGUCCAAGUCAAUGUGGCUCACGACAGACCUAGGGAACCAAGUCUCUCUCCCCGAGAGCCUGCACUCCCCCUUCUCCUUCUCCGUUAGCUUAAGGCGAUAAAACUUUGAAGAUGUAAUCUAGGCAUUAUCUGCCUUUUUGGAUAAUGUUCAACAGUAAUUUUAGUGUCGUCUUUAUCUCCAAAAUGGUUGCUUUAAAUUCAGCUGCUUCCUUCCCAGAGGCUGGUUUGACUUUUAGGCAGCAAAAUAUCUUUCUGUGUGUCCUCCCUUUUGGUGGGUCAGAUUUUUUGGGUUCUGGUUUAUUCUCCUAUUUGUUUUCCCCUCUGCCAUACCUCCUCUUUAGCUCUGUUUGGCUUUUCUUAUACCAGGAUUUAUUCUUCCCACGAAAGGAUUCAUCCAUGCAGAAGAGCUCAGAGCAUAUUCCAGAGAUGCCCGUGCUGUUGGAAAGGAUCAAGGCAAGAAGACAUCCUAUCUCAGGGACUGACCCAAAUUUUCUACAACCCCUUUCAGGAUAG
rnacentral:lncRNA from 1 species